AUUGAACGCUGGCGGCAGGCCUAACACAUGCAAGUCGAGCGGAUGAAGGGAGCUUGCUCCUGGAUUCAGCGGCGGACGGGUGAGUAAUGCCUAGGAAUCUGCCUGGUAGUGGGGGAUAACGUCCGGAAACGGGCGCUAAUACCGCAUACGUCCUGAGGGAGGAAGUGGGGGAUCUUCGGACCUCACGCUAUCAGAUGAGCCUAGGUCGGAUUAGCUAGUUGGUGGGGUAAAGGCCUACCAAGGCGACGAUCCGUAACUGGUCUGAGAGGAUGAUCAGUCACACUGGAACUGAGACACGGUCCAGACUCCUACGGGAGGCAGCAGUGGGGAAUAUUGGACAAUGGGCGAAAGCCUGAUCCAGCCAUGCCGCGUGUGUGAAGAAGGUCUUCGGAUUGUAAAGCACUUUAAGUUGGGAGGAAGGGCAGCAAGUUAAUACCUUGCUGUUUUGACGUUACCAACAGAAUAAGCACCGGCUAACUUCGUG
rnacentral:rRNA from 1 species